AAACAUAGAAGUUUGGUCCUGGCCUUUUUAUGAAUUCUCGGUAAAAUUACACAUACAAGCAUCCCCGCCCCAGUGAGAAUGCCCUCCAGAUCACCUGGUUCAAAAGAAGCAGGUACCAAGCACGCAUAAACGCAGCUCAUAACACUUUGCUCAACCACACCCUCACGGGAAACAGCAGUGAUAAAUUUUAAGUAAUAAGUGAAAGUAUGACUAAACUAUACUAAUAUUUAGGGUUGGUAAAUUUUGUGCCAGCCACCGCGGCCAUACGAUUAACCCAAGCUAAUAAAACUCGGCAUAAAGAGUGUUUAAGGUCUGCAGUCAAUAAAGUUAAGCUCCAUCUAAAUCAUAAAAAUCUCCAGCUGAAAUAAAAUAUACUACGAAAGUGACUUUAAUGUCUGAGGACACAACAGCUAAGGCACAAACUGAGAUUAGAAACCCCACUAUGCUUAGCCCUAAACACAAAUAGUUAUAUUAACAAGACAGUUCGCCAGAGUACUACAUGCAGCAGCUUAAAACUCAAAGGACUUGGCGGUGCUUUAUAGCCUUCUAGAGGAGCCGGUUCUAUAAUUGAUAAACCCCGAUAUACCUCACCAUCUCUUGUCACUCAGCCUAUAUAACACCAGCUUCAGCAAACCCUAAAUAUAUAUAUAUAUAUAUAUAUAUAUAUAUAUAUAUAUAUAUAGUAAACACAAGUAUGCACAUUGAAACAUUAGGUCAAGGUGUAGUCCAUGGGAUGGUAAGAAAUGGGCUACAUUUUCUACAUCCAGAAAAAUCUCACAAUAACCUUCAUGAAAUCUAAAUGUUCGAAGAGGAUUUACUACUAAAUCAAGAACAAAGUGCUUGAUUGAAUAAGGCCAAAAGGCACGCACACAACGCCCAUCACCCUUAUCAAGGAAUGCUCUAAAAAUUACUAUUAUUAAUAAUUGCCUACACACAUACAGAAGAGAUAAGUCAUAACACAGUAAGUGUACUGGAGAGUGCGCCUGGAUAAACCAAAGU
rnacentral:ncRNA from 1 species